AGAGUUUGAUUAUGGCUCAGGAUGAACGCUGGCGGCGUGCCUAACACAUGCAAGUCGAGCGGAGAUAAGUUGAAGCCUAGCGAUUCUUAUCUUAGCGGCGGAUGGGUGAGUAACACGUGGGUAACCUGCCCUGUACUGGGGGAAUAACAGUUGGAAACGACUGUUAAUGCCGCAUCUGCGCACGAAGCCGCAUGGCUUAGGGCGGAAAGAUUUAUCGGUACAGGAUGGGCCCGCGUCGGAUUAACUAGUUGGCGGGGUAACGGCCCACCAAGGUGAUGAUCCGUAGCCGACCUGAGAGGGUGACCGGCCACAUUGGGACUGAGACACGGCCCAAACUCCUACGGGAGGCAGCAGUGGGGGAUAUUGCACAAUGGGGGAAACCCUGAUGCAGCGACGCCGCGUGAAGGAAGAAGUAUUUCGGUAUGUAAACUUCUAUCAGCGGGGAAGAAGAUGACGGUACCCGACUAAGAAGCCCCGGCUAACUACGUGCCAGCCGCCGC
rnacentral:rRNA from 1 species